UUCCUUUGUCUUCUUUUAAUCAGUCAGGAACAAAAUAAGCCUGGGCAAUUUCCGUUCACCUAUAAACAGACCACCUUCUCCCCUGCAAGGGAUGAUGAAGGAGAAACACCUACCUGAGCAGAGCUGUUUACCUUGGUGUCUGGAAGGCCUAUAGUCCCUCUGUCAUCCUCCCCAUCCUGCUAUGUGUCAUAAUUGUGGUAGUGACUGAAUAAGUGACUCAAGAUUAGGUAACCAUUUCAUAGGACUUCAAAAUCCUU
ensembl:lncRNA